AGUCAUAUACGACCAGCUCCCACUGAACUCCCCCAGGAUCGGAAGGUAGCAAGGGUAGGUGGUUGUAGCGGUGCGAUAUAUU
rnacentral:SRP_RNA from 1 species